UCCUACGGGGGCAGCAGUGGGGAAUAUUGCACAAUGGGCGCAAGCCUGAUGCAGCGACGCCGCGUGCGGGAUGGAGGCCUUCGGGUUGUAAACCGCUUUUGUUCAAGGGCAAGGCACGGUCUUUGGCCGUGUUGAGUGGAUUGUUCGAAUAAGCACCGGCUAACUACGUGCCAGCAGCCGCGGUAAUAUGUAGGGGGCAAGCGUUAUCCGGAUUUAUUGGGCGUAAAGGGCGCGCAGGCGGUUCGUGCCGUCCGGUGUGCAAGUCCACCGC
rnacentral:rRNA from 1 species